rnacentral:sRNA from 1 species
GAGGACAACACGACGCCGGAGGAUUA